UAUCAGGUAGUAGUGGGUGUAAUGUACCUACUAGCCGACGACGGGUACGGGUUGUGAGAGCAAGAGCCCGGAGAUGGAUUCUGAGACAUGAAUCCAGGCCCUACGGGGCGCAGCAGGCGCGAAAACUUUACAAUGCGGGAAACCGUGAUAAGGGGACACCGAGUGCCAGCAUCAUAUGCUGGCUGUCCGGGUAUGUAAAAUACACCUGUUAGCAAGGGCCGGGCAAGACCGGUGCCAGCCGCCGCGGUAACACCGGCGGCCCGAGUGGUGAUCGUGAUUAUUGGGUCUAAAGGGUCAGUAGCCGGUUUGGUCAGUCCUCCGGGAAAUCUGACGGCUUAACCGUUAGGCUUUCGGAGGAUACUGCCAGGCUUGGAACCGGGAGAGGUAAGAGGUACUACAGGGGUAGGAGUGAAAUCUUGUAAUCCCUGUGGGACCACCUGUGGCGAAGGCGUCUUACCAGAACGGGUUCGACGGUGAGGGACGAAAGCUGGGGGCACGAACCGGAUUAGAUACCCGGGUAGUCCCAGCCGUAAACGAUGCUCGCUAGGUGUC
rnacentral:rRNA from 1 species